rnacentral:misc_RNA from 1 species
GAUGAAGAACGUAGCGAAAUGCGAUACGUAAUGUGAAUUGCAGAAUUCAGUGAAUCAUCGAAUCUUUGAACGCAUAUUGCGCUCUCUGGUAUUCCGGAGAGCAUGCUUGUUUGAGUAUCAGUAAACACCUCAACUUCCAUAUCUUUUUUGAAAUGGGAGUUGGACUUGAGUGAUCCCAACGCUUUUCCUCACCGAAAAGUGGCGGGUUACUUGAAAUGCAGGUGCAGCUGGACUUUUCUCUGAGCUAUAAGCAUAUCUAUUUAGUCUGCCUAAAAACAGAUUAUUACCUUUGCUGCAGCUAACAUAAAGGAGAUUAGUUCUUGUGCUGACUGAUGCAGGAUUCACAAAGACAGGCUUCGGCCGACUUUGUAAACUCGAUCUCAAAUCAAGUAAGACUACCCGCUGAACUUAAGCAUACCAAUAAGCGGAGGA